CAAACAUUUUCCUAAUUUUAAGCACGGUUCCUCACUUCACUAUCCCGCACAUCGGCCGCUCUCCAACCCCCCUGUCUCUCUCCGACCUCCGUGUCUGACAAUAUAAACUAAAGUUCAGUCGAUCAGGAAAAGGCCGACAAACGGAAAAUACACAAGAAGACGGGAAGGCGGUAUGGAGAUCAGUAAAGCUUUGCAUCCAUAGAUGGAAGUUGAGUGUUGUGUCUUGUUUUGAAGAAAGAGGUCAUGCUUCAGUUGGUCAAACUGAAUAGAUACAGUAAAUUUGUUCCUCAAAAGCUAGCAUUAUUUCGUACCCUUGCUUUUGAAUCAACCUGCCAGCCUCACUCUUCUGUAGAAAAAGAAAUUGAAAUAGAGAGAAUCAUCAAAGUUGUUAAUGAUCAUCCUUUUCUUGAUCACCCACUUCACCCUACUCUUCUGCAACAUAUCCCGCAAUCGGUGCUUUCACCUCCGCUUGUGAAAAAUGUGCUUGGUCGCCUCUUUGCAGCACAUUCCAAUGGCCUUAAAGCCUUUGAAUUCUUCAAAUUCUCCCUUCAAUACUCCCACUUCCGCCCAAGUUCAGAUGCUUUUGAGAAGACACUCCAUAUCCUUGCACGAAUGCGCUACUUUGAUAAAGCUUGGGAAUUGAUGGAAGAAAUCCAACGAACACACCCUUCCUUGUUAACCCUAAAAUCCAUGGGCAUCAUGUUAUCGAGAAUCGCUAAGUUCCAAACCUUCGAAGAUACCCUUGAAGCAUUCAAGAGGAUGGAGAAAAAUAUAUUUGUAGGGAGGAAAUUUGGCACCGAUGAGUUCAAUGUACUACUUAGAGCAUUUUGUACGCAAAGGCAGAUGAAGGAGGCAAGGUCUGUGUUCAACAGGAUGCAUCCUCGAUUUUCUCCCAACACCAAGACCAUGAAUAUUUUGCUGUUGGGUUUCAAGGAAUCAGGUGAUGUUACUGCGGUAGAACUGUUCUACCAUGAGAUGGUUCGAAGAGGCUUUAAGCCGAAUAAUGUGACUUACAAUAUUAGAAUUGAUGCUUACUGCAAGAAAGGAUGUUUCGGUGAUGGUUUGAGACUUCUUACAGAAAUGCAAGGCGUAAAUUGUUUGCCUACAAUAGAAACAAUAACAACAUUGAUCCAUGGCGCAGGGGUUGCUCAAAACAUAGCUAAAGCAAGAGAGUUGUUCGAAGAGAUUCCCAUGAGAAACUUUAGGGCUGAUACUGGUGCUUAUAAUGCUUUAUUGAGUUCUCUUGUAAGAUGCAGGGACAUGGAGUCUGCAACUGGCUUAAUGGAUGAGAUGGAAGAGAAAGGCAUUGGGCAUGACAAUAUCACAUACCAUACUAUGUUCUUUGGCUUAAUGAAGUCAAAAAAUUUGGACUCUGUUUCUGAACUCUUUGACAAGAUGACAAAGAAAAACUUUGUUCCAAAGACGCGAACAGUGGUGAUGUUGAUGAAAUUCUUUUGUGCAAAUCGUCAGCCUGAUUUGGGGUUGAAUUUGUGGGGCUACCUAUUAGAGAGAGGUCACUGCCCCCAUGGCCAUGCAUUGGAUAUAUUGGCAACAUCAUUGUGCUCGCAUGGGAAGGUGCAAGAAGCUUUUGAGUGCUCCAAACAAAUGUUGGAGAGAGGAAGGCAUGUGAGCGAGGCGGUGUUUCGAAUGUUGGAGAGGUUUCUGCUGCAGGCUGGAGACACAGAAAAGUUAAGGAUGCUUGACGUGAUGAUCAAACGACUACAAAAUAUUUUGCCACCAUCAAGAGGUCAUGCUACUGGCACUUGGCAUUCCCAUUCAUAGGCUUGUGCAAGCUGCUGAUUCAGUUUCGGUAUGUCUAUCAAAAGGAUUGGGCGCUCCAGCUGGAACUGUCAUUGUUGGUUCAAAAGAUUUUAUUACUAGGGCAAAGACUCUAAGGAAGACCUUGGGUGGUGGAAUGAGACAAGUUGGCGUCCUUUGUGCUGCUGCUUUAGUUGCAGUGCAAGAGAUUGUUGGAAAGCUCGAGAGUGAUCACAACAAUGCUAAGUUUCUAGCACGUAAAUUUUUUCUCCUGUUUAAUACAUUAUCAUAUACAUACAGUGGUAGACCCAUAAAUUCAUGUGUUAUUUUGGCUGAUGUUUCUCUUUUACAUUUUUAUAAAUUUGGUUUUCAGAAGGACUGAAUAGAAUUGAAGGACUAAAAGUGGUUGUCAAUUCAGUGGAGACCAACAUAAUGUACCGGUUCCUGCUGCAUGUGUUAUAUUGAUUUGCCUUUUCGCUCUGCAACACUAUGGGAGCCAUAAAAUUGGUUUUAUGUUUGCUCCAGUUGUCAUUUUAUGGCUCUUGCUCAUCAGUGGAGUGAGUCUAUAUAAUAUCUGUCAUUAUGACCCCCAAAUCAUCUAUGCUAUCUCUCCAACAUAUAUGUACAGAUUCAUGAGAAGAAUUAGCCCUGGAAGUUGGGGAUUAUUAGGCAGUAUUCUCCUUUGUGCAGCAGGUUGGAUCAGAAGCAAUGUUUGCAGAUCUAGGUCAUUUCUCGAAGAGAUCUAUCACGGUUACUUUUGUCUGCCUAAUAUAUCCAGCCCUUGUUUUGUGUUACGCUGGUCAAGCAGCUUUUAUCUCCAAGAACUUGGGUGUUUCUAAGGAUGUUUUUCUUCUCAGUGAAUCUGUACCCAAUAGAUCGAUUCGCCACAUCUUCAGGGUGUUAUCACUAUUUGCCUCAGCUGUAGGAAGCCAAGCAACAAUUACUGCCAGUUUCUCCAUUAUAAACCAGUGCCUGGCACUUGGUUGCUUUCCUAGAGUUAAAGUUAUCCAUACAUCAGAUAAGAUACACGGGCAAGUAUACAUUCCAGAUGUCAACUGGAUGUUGAUGCUUUUCAACAUAGCAAUCACCAUUGGUUUCCGUAACAUUUCACUGAUUGGAAAUGCAACAGGUAUGUUUGUGUAC